UACGGAGGAUCCGAGCGUUAUCCGGAUUUAUUGGGUUUAAAGGGAGCGUAGGCGGGUUGUUAAGUCAGUUGUGAAAGUUUGCGGCUCAACCGUAAAAUUGCAGUUGGUACUGGCAUCCUUGAGUACAGUAGAGGUAGGCGGAAUUCGUGGUGUAGCGGUGAAAUGCUUAGAUAUCACGAAGAACUCCGAUUGCGAAGGCAGCCUGCUGGACUGUAACUGACGCUGAUGCUCGAAAGUGUGGGUAUCAAACAGG
rnacentral:rRNA from 1 species